rnacentral:misc_RNA from 1 species
UCCGGUUUGUCACCGGCAGUCACCUUAGAGUGCCCAACUAAAUGCUGGCAACUAAGAUCAAGGGUUGCGCUCGUUGCGGGACUUAACCCAACAUCUCACGACACGAGCUGACGACAACCAUGCACCACCUAUCGCAGACCCCGAAGGACACCGUAUCUCUACGGCUUUUCCUGCGUAGUUCAACCCAGGUAAGGUUCUUCGCGUUGCAUCGAAUUA